GACGAACGCUGGCGGCGUGCUUAACACAUGCAAGUCGAACGGAAAGGCCCUGCUUUUGUGGGGUGCUCGAGUGGCGAACGGGUGAGUAACACGUGAGUAACCUGCCCUUGACUUUGGGAUAACUUCAGGAAACUGGGGCUAAUACCGGAUAGGAGCUCCUGCUGCAUGGUGGGGGUUGGAAAGUUUCGGCGGUUGGGGAUGGACUCGCGGCUUAUCAGCUUGUUGGUGGGGUAGUGGCUUACCAAGGCUUUGACGGGUAGCCGGCCUGAGAGGGUGACCGGCGACAUUGGGACUGAGAUACGGCGCAGACUCCUACGGGAGGCAGCAGUGGGGAAUAUUGCACAGUGGGCGGAAGCCUGAUGCAGCAACGCCGCGUGCGGGAUGACGGCCUUCGGGUUGUAAACCGCUUUCGCCUGUGACGAAGCGUGAGUGACGGUAAUGGGUAAAGAAGCACCGGCUAACUACGUG
rnacentral:rRNA from 1 species